AUUCCCCUAGUAACUGCGAGUGAAGCGGGAAAAGCUCAAAUUUAAAAUCUGGUGGUCUUUGGCCAUCCGAGUUGUAAUUUAGAGAAGCGUCUUCCGCGCUGGACCGUGCACAAGUCUCCUGGAAUGGAGCGUCAUAGAGGGUGAGAAUCCCGUCUUUGGCACGGACGCACCAGGGCUUUUGUGAUGCGCUCUCGAAGAGUCGAGUUGUUUGGGAAUGCAGCUCAAAAUGGGUGGUGAACUCCAUCUAAAGCUAAAUAUUGGCGAGAGACCGAUAGCGAACAAGUACCGUGAGGGAAAGAUGAAAAGCACUUUGGAAAGAGAGUGAAACAGUACGUGAAAUUGUUGAAAGGGAAACGCUUGAAGUCAGUCGCGUCGACCGAGACUCAACCUCGCCUUGGCUUGGUGUAAUUCUCGGCUGACGGGUCAGCAUCAAUUUCGCCUCUCGGAUAAUGACGAGGGAAAUGUGACACCUUUGCGGUGUGUUAUAGUCCCUUGUCGCAUGCGAGGGUUGGGAUUGAGGAACUCAGCACGCGCCUUUGGGUGUCGGGGUUUUGCCCACGAUACGUGCUUAGGAUGUUGGCGUAAUGGCUUUAAACGACCCGUCUUGAAACACGGACCAAGGAGUCUAACAUGCCUGCGAGUGUUCGGGUGGAAAACCCGUGCGCGCAAUGAAAGUGAAAGUUGGGACCUCUGUCGUGGAGGGCACCGACGCCCGGACCAGACCUUCUGUGACGGCUCUGCGGUAGAGCAUGUAUGUUAGGACCCGAAAGAUGGUGAACUAUGCCUGAAUAGGGUGAAGCCAGAGGAAACUCUGGUGGAGGCUCGUAGCGAUUCUGACGUGCAAAUCGAUCGUCAAAUUUGGGUAUAGGGGCGAAAGAC
rnacentral:rRNA from 1 species